GUGGGGAAUAUUGGGCAAUGGGCGCAAGCCUGAUCCAGCAAUGCCGCGUGCAGGAAGAAGGCCUUCGGGUUGUAAACUGCUUUUGUACGGAACGAAACGGUCCGGGUUAAUACCCUGGGCUAAUGACGGUACCGUAAGAAUAAGCACCGGCUAACUACGUGCCAGCAGCCGCGGUAAUACGUAGGGUGCAAGCGUUAAUCGGAAUUACUGGGCGUAAAGCGUGCGCAGGCGGUUUUGUAAGACAGGCGUGAAAUCCCCGGGCUCAACCUGGGAAUUGCGCUUGUGACGGCAAGGCUGGAGUGCGGCAGAGGGGGAUGGAAUUCCGCGUGUAGCAGUGAAAUGCGUAGAUAUGCGGAGGAACACCGAUGGCGAAGGCAAUCCCCUGGGCCUGCACUGACGCUCAUGCACGAAAGCGUGGGGAGCAAACAGGAUUAGAUACCCUAGUAGUCC
rnacentral:rRNA from 1 species